rnacentral:rRNA from 1 species
UACGUAGGGUGCAAGCGUUGUCCGGAAUUAUUGGGCGUAAAGAGCUCGUAGGCGGUUUGUCGCGUCUGCUGUGAAAACUCGGGGCUUAACCCCGGGCCUGCAGUGGGUACGGGCAGACUAGAGUGCGGUAGGGGAGACUGGAAUUCCUGGUGUAGCGGUGGAAUGCGCAGAUAUCAGGAGGAACACCAGUGGCGAAGGCGGUUCUCUGGGCCUUACCUGACGCUGAGGAGCGAAAGCGUGGGGAGCAAACAGG